rnacentral:lncRNA from 1 species
GAAAAUAACUAUUUAAAAAAUUACAAAGUGGGUGAGAAGGCCAGGGAGAAUUCUACUGAAUAGAAUUUCAUAGUCUACAUGGUUUUACAGGUAGAACAAAAUCAUCUCAGGCUUAAUCACUAUGAGUUUAGCUACUCAUGAUAAUGCACAAAUAACUAAUGUAAAAGAAAACAACAUUACAUGAAUUUGGGAUUGACUAUGAGUUGAAUGGCAAGCCACCACAAAAUCUGCAAUCCUUAGCUUCAAAUGUGUCUUCAAUAUCCCAAAAAUCUAAACCCUUCCACUUAAAUGAAGUUGGCCUUUUAUAGAUCUCAUUAUAUAACGUAAAAAUCAUGUCCCAAUUUGCUAAAUCGUGCCUUGAUUUCUCUUUAACUUUCAAAUUUUAGAAUUAAUGCUCUCCAAAUUGUGUCAUGAUUUGUUCCUUUCUCGCCACAAAAUAAAGCAAAUUGACAUUGUCAAAUUUUCCUCAAAAUCGUGGCAAGAUGUACCAUUUUUGUGGCACGAUUUUUAGUUUUGCUUGAUUCUUGAAUUUUGUCUUUUCCAACUUAGAACACCUCAAAAGCUCUUAGAGAUCUACUUAGGGCCCGUUUGGAUUAGCUUAUUUUAGAGCUUAUAUAAAAUAGUUUAUGCAAAUAAAUAAAUUUUUAUGUAUUAUUUAUAAGUUUUCAAACUAUUUUAUGGAAAAACAAGUUAUGAAGAUGCGAUUUUCGUUAACGAGAGCUUAUAAAUUAAAAUAAAAACCUAUUUAUUUACAUAAGCUAUUUUUUAUAAGCCUAAAAUAAGCUCAAACAAAACGGGGCCUAAAUAACAUGAAAAUAACUAACUAAACAUCAUAUGACAUAAUGCCAUCAAUAGAAGUCUGGAAAUCAAUUUUAAAAAAAGGUGCCUUCUUAAUUCUCAUUAUUUGGUCGACACACAUGGUUCCUAAGAAAGUUGUAAUUAAUAAAAUAAUAAAUGUUAGAAAAGAAUGUUAGAGUGUUAGAAAAUGAAAUUGUGAAUGAGAAACUUUUUUAUUUUUGUGUUACUACUCAUUUUCAACUUGUUUUGUUUUCAG